rnacentral:rRNA from 1 species
AUUAUUGGGCGUAAGGGCUCGCAGGCGGUUUCUUAAGUCUGAUGUGAAAGCCCCCGGCUCAACCGGGGAGGGUCAUUGGAAACUGGGAAACUUGAGUGCAGAAGAGGAGAGUGGAAUUCCACGUGUAGCGGUGAAAUGCGUAGAGAUGUGGAGGAACACCAGUGGCGAAGGCGACUCUCUGGUCUGUAACUGACGCUGAGGAGCGAAAGCGUGGGGAGCGAACAGGAUUAGAUACCCUGGUAGUCCACGCCGUAAACGAUGAGUGCUAAGUGUUAGGGGGUUUCCGCCCCUUAUUGCUGCAGCUAACGCAUUAAGCACUCCGCCUGGGGAGUACGGUCGCAAGACUGAAACUCAAAGGAAUUGACGGGGGCCCGCACAAGCGGUGGAGCAUGUGGUUUAAUUCGAAGCAACGCGAAAAACCUUACCAGGUCUUGACAUCCUCUGACAACCCUAGAGAUAGGGCUUUCCCUUCGGGGACAGAGUGACAGGUGGUGCAUGGUUGUCGUCAGCUCGUGUCGUGAGAUGUUGGGUUAAGUCCCGCAACGAGCGCAACCCUUGAUCUUAGUUGCCAGCAUUCAGUUGGGCACUCUAAGGUGACUGCCGGUGACAAACCGGAGGAAGGUGGGGAUGACGUCAAAUCAUCAUGCCCCUUAUGACCUGGGCUACACACGUGCUACAAUGGACAGAACAAAGGGCUGCAAGACCGCAAGGUUUAGCCAAUCCCAUAAAUCUGUUCUCAGUUCGGAUCGCAGUCUGCAACUCGACUGCGUGAAGCUGGAAUCGCUAGUAAUCGCGGAUCAGCAUGCC